GUGUUUUCCAUACUUGACCCUAUAAAAGUACCCUGGGGAUGAGUAUGACUUGUCUUUCCUCAUAAAGCUUCAAGUUCUGACCCACUUCAAGGUUGCAUCUCCAAGGCAGGGUCUUUGACUGGGCUGCCAUCAAUAAACUGCAGCCAUGAGUUCAGACCAGGAAAUGGCUAUUUUUGGGGAGGCUGCUCCUUACCUCCGAAAGUCUGAAAAGGAGCGCAUUGAGGCCCAGAAUAAGCCUUUUGAUGCCAAGACCUCGGUCUUUGUGGCGGACCCUAAGGAGUCCUUUGUGAAAGCAACCGUGCAGAGCAGAGAAGGGGGGAAGGUGACAGCCAAGACCGAAGCUGGAGCGACAGUAACUGUGAAAGAAGACCAAGUCUUCCCCAUGAACCCUCCCAAGUUCGACAAGAUCGAGGACAUGGCCAUGAUGACCCACCUGCAUGAGCCCGCUGUGCUCUAUAACCUCAAAGAGCGUUAUGCGGCCUGGAUGAUCUAUACUUACUCAGGCCUCUUCUGUGUCACUGUCAACCCCUACAAGUGGCUGCCGGUGUACAAUGCAGAGGUGGUGACGGCCUACCGAGGCAAAAAGCGCCAGGAGGCCCCGCCCCACAUCUUCUCCAUCUCUGACAACGCCUAUCAGUUCAUGCUGACUGAUCGGGAGAAUCAGUCUAUCUUGAUCACCGGAGAAUCCGGGGCUGGGAAGACUGUGAACACGAAGCGUGUCAUCCAGUACUUUGCAACAAUUGCAGUCACUGGGGAGAAGAAGAAGGAGGAACCAACUUCAGGCAAAAUGCAGGGGACUCUGGAGGAUCAGAUCAUCAGUGCCAAUCCCCUGCUGGAGGCCUUUGGCAACGCCAAGACCGUGAGGAAUGACAACUCCUCUCGCUUUGGUAAAUUCAUCAGGAUCCACUUCGGUACCACAGGGAAACUGGCUUCUGCUGAUAUUGAAACAUAUCUUCUGGAGAAGUCUAGAGUCACUUUCCAGCUGAAGGCAGAAAGAAGCUACCAUAUUUUUUAUCAGAUCAUGUCUAACAAGAAGCCAGAGCUAAUUGGUACGAAAUGGGGCAGUAAUGCAUUAUGGGAACCUGAAAUUCAAGCAAAAGCAGCGUGAGGAGCAAGCAGAACCAGAUGGCACUGAAGUUGCUGACAAGGCCGCCUACCUCCAGGGUCUGAACUCUGCUGACCUGCUCAAAGCUCUCUGCUACCCCAGAGUCAAGGUCGGCAAUGAGUUUGUCACCAAAGGCCAGACUGUGCAGCAGGUAUAUAAUGCAGUGGGUGCUCUGGCCAAAGCCGUCUAUGAUAAGAUGUUCCUGUGGAUGGUCACCCGCAUCAACCAGCAGUUGGACACCAAGCAGCCCAGGCAGUACUUCAUCGGGGUCUUGGACAUCGCUGGCUUUGAGAUCUUUGAUUUCAACAGCCUGGAGCAGCUGUGCAUCAACUUCACCAAUGAGAAACUGCAACAGUUUUUCAACCACCACAUGUUCGUGCUGGAGCAGGAGGAGUACAAGAAGGAAGGCAUCGAGUGGGAGUUCAUCGACUUCGGGAUGGACCUGGCCGCCUGCAUCGAGCUCAUCGAGAAGCCUAUGGGCAUCUUCUCCAUCCUGGAAGAGGAGUGCAUGUUCCCCAAGGCCACAGACACCUCCUUCAAGAACAAGCUUUAUGAACAGCAUCUUGGAAAGUCCAACAACUUCCAGAAGCCCAAACCUGCCAAGGGCAAGACUGAGGCCCACUUCUCCCUCAUUCACUAUGCGGGAACAGUGGACUACAACAUCACUGGCUGGCUGGACAAGAACAAGGACCCCCUGAAUGAGACGGUGGUUGGGCUGUACCAGAAGUCUUCAGUGAAGACUCUGGCUUUCCUGUUCUCUGGCGCAACAUCUGCUGAAGCAGAGGGCGGUGGAAAGAAAGGUGGCAAGAAGAAGGGUUCUUCUUUCCAGACCGUGUCUGCUCUUUUCAGGGAGAAUCUGAAUAAGCUGAUGACCAACCUGAGGAGCACUCACCCCCACUUUGUACGCUGCAUCAUCCCCAAUGAAACUAAAACUCCUGGGGCCAUGGAGCACGAGCUGGUCCUGCACCAGCUGAGGUGUAACGGGGUGCUGGAGGGCAUCCGCAUCUGUAGGAAGGGCUUCCCCAGCAGAAUCCUGUAUGCAGACUUCAAACAGAGAUACAAGGUAUUAAAUGCAAGUGCGAUCCCUGAAGGACAAUUCAUCGACAGCAAGAAGGCUUCUGAGAAGCUCCUUGGGUCCAUUGACGUUGAUCACACCCAGUAUAAAUUUGGUCACACCAAGGUCUUUUUCAAAGCUGGUCUUCUGGGGCUCCUAGAGGAGAUGCGAGAUGAAAAGCUGGCCCAGCUGAUGACCCGAACCCAGGCCAGGUGCAGAGGGUUCUUGGCAAGAGUGGAGUACCAGAAGAUGGUGGAGAGGAGAGAAUCCAUCUUCUGCAUCCAGUACAAUGUCCGUGCUUUCAUGAACGUCAAGCACUGGCCCUGGAUGAAGCUGUAUUUCAAGAUCAAGCCCCUCCUCAAGAGUGCAGAGACAGAGAAGGAAAUGGCCAACAUGAAGGAAGAAUUUGAGAAGACCAAAGAAGAGCUGGCUAAGUCAGAAGCAAAAAGGAAAGAACUUGAAGAGAAAAUGGUGACUCUGACACAAGAGAAAAAUGACCUGCAGCUCCAGGUUCAGUCUGAAGCUGAUGCCUUGGCUGAUGCAGAGGAAAGAUGUGACCAGCUGAUUAAAACCAAAAUCCAGCUGGAGGCUAAGAUCAAGGAGGUGACUGAGAGAGCUGAGGAUGAGGAGGAGAUCAAUGCUGAGCUGACGGCCAAGAAGAGGAAACUGGAGGACGAAUGUUCGGAACUGAAGAAAGACAUAGAUGACCUUGAACUGACACUGGCCAAGGUUGAGAAAGAGAAACAUGCUACAGAGAACAAGGUAUGAAAUACACUUCUCUACAGCAUAUAGAGACUCCGCCAUCUAAUUAGGCUGCUUUACGGCAGAGAUCAUCUCUUUCUUAACCNUAGGAACUCCCGAAAAAAAUUCUAUGCGACACCAUCUUUCAAUUCGUAGGAGUACUAAUAUGUCUUGUUCUUCUGUCUAAAGGAAAGAAUUUGAAAUCAGCAAUCUGCUAAGCAAAAUUGAAGAUGAGCAGGCAGUAGAAAUUCAACUACAGAAGAAGAUCAAAGAGUUGCAGGCCCGCAUCGAGGAGCUGGAGGAGGAGAUCGAGGCCGAGCGCGCCUCCCGCGCCAAAGCAGAGAAGCAGCGCUCAGACCUCUCCCGGGAACUGGAGGAGAUCAGCGAGCGGCUGGAAGAAGCCGGCGGGGCCACUUCUGCCCAGAUUGAGAUGAACAAGAAGCGCGAGGCCGAGUUCCAGAAGAUGCGCCGGGACCUGGAGGAGGCCACACUGCAGCAUGAGGCCACGGCAGCCGCUCUUCGCAAGAAGCACGCGGACAGUGUGGCCGAGCUGGGGGAGCAGAUAGACAACCUGCAGAGGGUCAAGCAGAAGCUGGAGAAGGAGAAGAGCGAGAUGAAGAUGGAGAUCGACGACCUGGCCAGCAACAUGGAGACUGUCUCCAAAGCCAAGGGAAACCUCGAAAAGAUGUGCCGCACUCUAGAGGAUCAACUGAGUGAACUUAAGACAAAGGAGGAUGAGCAGCAGCGGCUGAUCAAUGACCUGACGACUCAGAGAGCGCGUCUACAGACAGAAUCAGGUGAAUUCUCACGCCAGCUAGAUGAGAAGGAUGCACUAGUUUCUCAGCUCUCGAGGGGCAAACAAGCAUUCACACAACAGAUUGAAGAACUGAAAAGGCAGUUGGAAGAGGAGAUAAAGGCCAAGAGUGCCCUGGCCCACGCCCUGCAGUCAGCCCGUCAUGACUGUGACCUGCUGCGGGAACAGUAUGAGGAGGAGCAGGAGGGUAAGGCCGAGCUGCAGAGGGCGAUGUCCAAGGCCAACAGCGAGGUGGCCCAGUGGAGGACCAAGUACGAGACGGACGCCAUCCAGCGCACGGAGGAGCUGGAGGAAGCCAAGAAGAAGCUGGCCCAGCGUCUGCAGGAUGCCGAGGAACACGUAGAAGCGGUGAACGCCAAAUGCGCCUCCCUUGAGAAGACCAAGCAGAGGCUCCAGAAUGAGGUUGAGGACCUCAUGGUUGACGUGGAGAGGACAAACGCUGCCUGUGCAGCCCUGGACAAAAAGCAAAGGAACUUCGACAAGAUCCUAUCAGAAUGGAAACAGAAGUAUGAAGAAACUCAUGCUGAACUUGAAGCCUCCCAGAAGGAGUCUCGCUCCCUUAGCACAGAGCUGUUCAAGAUCAAGAAUGCCUAUGAGGAGUCCUUAGACCAACUGGAAACCUUGAAGCGGGAAAAUAAGAACUUGCAACAGGAGAUCUCUGACCUUACGGAGCAGAUCGCAGAAGGAGGGAAACGUAUCCAUGAACUGGAGAAAGUAAAGAAGCAAGUGGAGCAAGAGAAAUCUGAAAUUCAGGCUGCUUUAGAGGAGGCAGAGGCAUCUCUUGAACAUGAAGAGGGAAAGAUCCUGCGUAUCCAGCUGGAGCUGAACCAGGUCAAGUCUGAAAUUGACAGGAAAAUUGCUGAAAAGGAUGAGGAAAUUGACCAGCUCAAGAGGAACCACAUUAGAGUGGUGGAGUCCAUGCAGAGCACGUUGGAUGCUGAGAUCAGGAGCAGGAAUGACGCCAUCAGGCUCAAGAAGAAGAUGGAAGGAGACCUCAAUGAAAUGGAGAUCCAGCUGAACCACGCCAACCGCAUGGCUGCUGAGGCCCUGAAGAAUUACAGGAACACCCAAGCCAUCCUCAAGGAUACCCAGCUCCACCUGGAUGAUGCUCUGCGGGGCCAGGAGGACCUGAAGGAGCAGCUGGCCAUGGUGGAGCGCAGAGCCAACCUGCUGCAGGCUGAGAUCGAGGAGCUGCGGGCCACCCUGGAGCAGACGGAGAGGAGCAGGAAGAUGGCGGAGCAGGAGCUCCUGGAUGCCAGUGAGCGCGUCCAGCUCCUGCACACCCAGAACACCAGCCUGAUCAACACCAAGAAGAAGCUAGAGACAGACAUCACUCAAAUCCAGGGAGAGAUGGAGGACAUUGUCCAGGAAGCUCGCAACGCUGAAGAGAAAGCCAAGAAGGCCAUCACUGAUGCAGCCAUGAUGGCCGAGGAGCUGAAGAAGGAGCAGGACACCAGCGCCCACCUGGAGCGGAUGAAGAAGAACCUGGAGCAGACGGUGAAGGACCUGCAGCACCGCCUGGAUGAGGCUGAGCAGCUGGCCCUGAAGGGCGGGAAGAAGCAGAUCCAGAAGCUGGAAGCCAGGGUACGUGAAUUGGAAGCAGAAGUUGAGAGUGAACAGAAACGCAAUGUUGAAACUGUCAAGGGUCUGCGCAAACAUGAGAGAAGAGUGAAGGAGCUCAGUUACCAGACUGAGGAGGACCGCAAGAACAUUCUCAGGCUCCAGGAUUUGGUGGAUAAACUGCAAGCAAAGGUGAAAUCUUACAAGAGACAAGCUGAGGAAGCGGAGGAACAAUCCAAUGUCAACCUCUCCAAAUUCCGUAAGCUCCAGCACGAGCUGGAAGAGGCCGAGGAACGGGCUGACAUUGCUGAGUCCCAGGUCAACAAGCUGCGGGUGAAGAGCCGGGAGGUUCACACAAAAAUCAUCAGUGAAGAGUAACUCAUCCAAAUGCUAAAAAGUGACCAAAGAAAUGCACAAAAUGUGAAAAUCUUUGUCACUCUGUUUUGUACUUAUGAUUUUUGCAGAUAAAAAAUUUAUCUGCAAAGA